GAAGGACUGACCUAAAAGGAUCAAAAGGACGAGGCAGAUUGAAGAGUUAUUUGAGAUACAGACUAAAUACUAGAGCACGGCACCGCAAUAAAGUAGUUCAUCUUGGCAUUUUAAAAAGAUCACAACAUUAGCACACACAUGAAGAUAAGAAGAAAAGAGGCCAUGCCUGCGGAAUUAUGCCAGUGCUUUUCAGGCUCUGUGGAAAGUCAGCUACCUGGAGUACCUCCUUGAAAUCUGGAGAACAAAGAUGCUCAUCAUCAGAUUCCAGUUCUAGUGGGGAAAUAAAGUUACUAAAAGUUCAUGCACAGGGAUGUUGAGCUAGUUUUAUUUUUCUCCCUUGGA
rnacentral:lncRNA from 1 species